CCUAAAAGGGGUUGGUGUAGUUUAUCUUUUUAUUUUACAAUUUUUUCAAUAAAGUAAAUGUGAUGUGCAAUAAUAAAAUCUGAGUAUUAAAAAUGUGACCCGCUAAUUGCUGAAAUUAAAUGAUAGAAGUAACUAAAUUAUUGUAUAAUUUUGUAAAAAAAUUGUUUGUAUAAACUCUGUUUUCAACCGGACAAGUUGUAAUUCCUAGGGUGGCAUAUUGGUGAUGGAGUCAAAAGAGAAGGAGGAAGAGGAGGCCGGCCGGCCGGCGAGGGUAGCAGUGGUGAUGGAGUAGACUUCGUCCAUCUUCUCAAGAGAGUCAAACAGUCUUUCUGGACACUUUAGGGAAGGAGUCCGGAUCGUUUUCCGUGGUUGCUGCGACGCUUCUUGCGGCUGUCCAAAACAAUGUCAUUUUGGACAUUUUUUCCCCCUUCUUCUUUUGCUUUUCAACCUCUUUUUCACGUCGUCAUUUUUACUUCACAAGGAGCCAAAACACCAUAGAACAGAGAAGAAAUUGUUCAGGAUAUUUGAUCGGGAUGGAAACAGGUACAUCAUGACGGUAGAGUUGACAGGAAUUAUCAGAGAAGCCGAUAAACUUGGUCAUCUUCCUCCGAUCUGCUCCCAUGGUUUUAGAUCUGUUCCGAUCUGCAUCGUCGUGAAGAGAUCAGCCUCCAACAACGAAUCUUUUUGAAACAUCUUUAUAGAGCAUCAAAGAUCCUUUGCCGCAAAAAAAAAAAAAA